rnacentral:rRNA from 2 species
UAGGGAAUCUUCGGCAAUGGACGAAAGUCUGACCGAGCAACGCCGCGUGAGUGAAGAAGGUUUUCGGAUCGUAAAACUCUGUUGUUAGAGAAGAACAAGGACGUUAGUAACUGAACGUCCCCUGACGGUAUCUAACCAGAAAGCCACGGCUAACUACGUGCCAGCAGCCGCGGUAAUACGUAGGUGGCAAGCGUUGUCCGGAUUUAUUGGGCGUAAAGCGAGCGCAGGCGGUUUCUUAAGUCUGAUGUGAAAGCCCCCGGCUCAACCGGGGAGGGUCAUUGGAAACUGGGAGACUUGAGUGCAGAAGAGGAGGGUGGAAUUCCAUGUGUAGCGAUGAAAUGCGUAGAUAUAUGGAGGAACACCAGUGGCGAAGGCGGCUCUCUGGUCUGUAACUGACGCUGAGGCUCGAAAGCGUGGGGAGCAAACAGG